UGUCACUCAUAAACAGUCUCCUGCUAAUCUCCAAACAACAGUGACUGCGACAGCUAUGACCAGAGUACAAACUACAACCUUUGCUACAAGAAAAGUUAGCUUGAAGGUCUUUGACUUUGACGUCUCUCAGUCGGCAUUAACUGGGCUGUGUAUGUCUUUCAAUAAGAAACAGAAAGAAGCCCAAUCAAAAAUCACUGAGGGGAGGAAUUCUGAAGGCAACAGGCCUGAUGGCAAAUUAAUAGACUUACACAACAUUCACAAUCUGACACUUGGAGAUGAGCAGGAAAGCGUUUUGAGUGGAGUUACUAAAAGCAAGGACAAAGACACACUUCAGUCCAACAGCAACCACAGCAGAGAAAUUACAAAAAUGUUUCUCAAAGAUGAUGAAAUCCUGGAAAACAAAAGGGAGGAAUUAUUAAGAUUAGAUGAUCCUGAAAUUGAAAAACGAGCAGCAGAGAUAAACCAAAGCACAUACAGAGAGGCUGGAGAAAUGAAAUAGUUCAUCACCAAGACAAGCAGAGAAGAGCAUGUACUUCUGAGACAUGACAAAAAUACACAACAUGGUGAAGUCAAGGAUGAGAGAGGCGCCAAAAGAGAAGGUGUAACUAAAAUAAAUAUGCAGAAUUCAACCCUGGAUACUUCUGGAAAGCAGAGACAAUUUUUGGAGGAAAAAGGAGAAAAGGCUGGAAGUGGGGAGGACAGAAAAUUUAACAAGGAUAUUGGGAAGGAGGAUGUGACAAAUGUUCCCCCUGAACCGGCAACAAAUUGGAAAGAACUUAACGGAGACAAAGAGAGCAUUGUUGAAAAGCUGUCUUCCUAUCAUGGUUUGAUUAAAGAGUUGGACGGCUCUGAGCACAAGGGUAUUCAUCUGGGUGAAAAUGCUUCACAAAUAAGAGACCUAACAAAUAAGUCAUUUUCUUUUUAGGUGACAAGCAAUUUCCAGCUGCCACACCCAUCUGUAAGAUCCCAGGCACCAGAUCUAAGGGAAGAGUAGCUUCCAAAAGAAGACAUUAUGUUACCACUGAAGGAAACAAGUUCUCAAGAGUUUGAGGUUAAAUUUCCUGCUGCUGCAGUGUCAAAAAUAUCUGGAUUUAUUUCUAUGUUUACGCCACUUAUUUCCCCAAGCAGGAGUGCUGCUAACACAGCUAAACAGCCUUCACUCACAACCCGAUUUCAGAGAGCCAAGUCCCACUUUAUUGUGAGCAGUUCUCUCAAUAUAUCAAUUAUUCAGAGCAACACAGAUCAUAAGCAUAAAUUGAACUAUUCUGUUCUGAGGGCCGAACCAGUUUUACAUACAGCGAAUGAGCAAGGGCAUGCAGAAUAUGCUACGCCAUCCAUACACCAGCAGAGGUAUGAUGAUUCAUCUACAAAGAUACCCACAGUCACAGUCUUGUCAUUUAAACCCCGCAUCUCUGUGGGCCCAUUUCAGCCUCACCGAGGGCAGUCUGCUACUCAGAGGAGUCACUCCUCCUCCUCAUGCCCUAACAUAACUCCAGGCCAGACAUGUCUCUCCAGGGUGUCAGAGCAGGCAUCGCAUCCAGACACUUUACAUACUCCUGCUGUGGAAAACAAGCAAAGAUUUCCACAGGCACGGACGUCGUCAGUGAUCCCUGCAACAGGAAUCAAUCGUUUUUCUCCCGAAAGCAUGUCACCGAUGAUGAAACUGAGGACGUUAAGUGGUGACAGGUUGACUGUAACCUACAGAUUGCAGAAGCUAACUAGUUCACAGCUGGCCCACUUUGUCCCUGGAUCCAAAAGCAGAGAGUCCUUGUUAGCGGCCACUGGUGAGACAAGUCAAAGAAAAAAGAAAGGGAAUGUUAUGUUCAUGAUGACCUCUGUUGUGAAACAUUCAAAUGGAGUCACAGGGGAUCAACAUACGACUGUCAGGAGUAAACAUGUUGCUAAUGACACUGAUGAAUUCAACUCCACUUCCCUUCAGACUAAGAAUGAGACUAAACAGAAUGACCUUUCUACUGCUGGUGGCAAAGAUGAAGCAAACAAUAUAAUUAUGACUGCAAAGCAUCAUCAUCGCUUUGAGUUAGAAAAAGCCAUGCCUUACACUGUAAUGGCUACAAAUGGGAAAUUUGGGCGCGACACAAAUUAUGCUGACACAAUUGAUCGAGUUGGCACCGCCACGAUUUUCCAGACAGAUAAUCUUCCCGAAAGGCCUAAAAUACAAUCUGAUGAUGAGCCUAACUCAUUGUUUGAUGUUGAGCAUCGCUUGGCAAAGACGAAUAUAAGGCACGACAGCCAGUCUCUGUCACAGCAGAGUGAGAGUAACAAGUCAGACAUGAUUACAAAUAUGAAUUCAAGCACUGACCGUGCAAUCCGCAAAAUAACACACCAGACUUUUGACCAAGCAAGACACAUUAUUUCUCAAUUUCAUAUAAACGCAAAUAAAACCGCUGACUUUGUCUCUCUCACAGAGACUCCCGCUGAGUUCAGAGGUUUUAAAUCUCUGCUGGCCGCGAGUGGGACUCUGCCAGACAGUAAGAAGUCAACUCAGAAGGCAGCUGAGCACAGAUCUCGACCCUACGCUCAUACCAAUCCUUUGACUCAGAGAGAGCUUCCCAUAACUCACACUUUUGACAAGCUCACCCCCGCUGUUUCGAGAAUAAAAACAAUGGAAACACAUAGUGUGCAGGAGCAGCCAGAGGAGGAGAUUCUUGUACGAGCUGCCGAACAAGGCCAGCAUGCCCUGCUUUCUAUGACUGCAUUAUCACAUGUUAUUAAUAUAGCAGAGUCUGACUUUUCAGAGAUGGCCCACAGAGCCAAAGAGUCAUAUGUCCAAACACCUGCAGCUUCUGAACAAAUGAGCUAUUUAUCACUUUAAGGUAUUAAAUCAGUUCCUCUUCCUGUGAAUAUUUAUGGAGAGCACUCACAAGAUUGGGUAGAAAAACAUAAGAAGCACAUGUUGCCUAAAAGAACUUCAAUAAGCCAACCAGUCGUUGGACAUGUGACAGAUUUUGUACCUCAUGCAGAGAUCCCACCCACAGAGUUUGUUAAUAAAAUCAGUUGUAGCAGUAAUGGCUGUACAAAGUCUGAUGAAACUACUGAGGCAGUCGUGAUUGAUCCUACAAAGGAAAUCUUCAAAACUCGAUUCCCAGAAAAAAAUAAUUUCCGGGCCCAAAAUGCUAAUAAAACAAAGUCCGGAAGCAACUGGAGCUUUCAUCGCUCUGUACCUAGAAAAUCAAGUGGAAAAUCAAAAAAAGUGUUGCAUUUAUAGUCACCAGUAAAUGGGAACAGGACUACACCAGUGAUGACACAGUGUCAACAAAGGCCAAAAGUACAUCAGAUGAAACUGUUCAUUUGGAAAACAAAGACACACCUCAGUGGACUCGGUUUGUGACGAAAACAACACAAAGAUGCUUUCAGAAUACCUUUGGAGUUAUUGCAACAGAGGGCACACUGUCUGAGUCUGGAGCAGCUGCUGUGGAAACCACAAUAAAGUCCACUGAGAAGACGCUGCCUGUUGAAGGAAACACCAAAACACAAUUAGACAGAAGAGCAGGCAGAGCCAGGAUGCUGGCAGAACAAAAUGUCAGUAGGUCACCGCGUGCCCAUGCUAAGGACGAGACGGCAAGCCCAGAGUCUGGGAGCAGGCUGUUAGUGUCAGAGCCGCAGACUAAAUCAGAGCUCCCAAGGCUGAACCAAAGGAGAAGGACAUCACCUCAUCAGUAUGUCUCUGGUGUGACAGAAAUUUCAGAUGACAUCUGUGGCAGUGGAAACUACACCGCAGAAAUGAGGCUGAAGAUGGGAACAAGUGUGGAGCCUGGUGAUGUGGUGCCAACCCGAGGGAACCUCAGAGUGAUUAUCAAUCUGAAGACAAACAACAGUCAGAUAAACCUUGGCGUCACCGUCUGUUGCCUGUCACCAACACGUCAGCUGGACUUCAACAACUCUACCUGCUGCUUUUUUUUUAGACCAGGAGAGGAUCAUGCUGCUGCCCAGCACCUUGUCAACCAGUGCCAGUUUUACCAUCAGUCUCUUCCAAAUGAUUAAUUACUCAGUGGUGUACCUACACUGUGAUCUCAGUGUCUGUCUGAGGAACCACUCUGACUGUGAAAGGCAAUGCCUUCAGCAGCGGAGUGUGUUUCCUUCUGAAGGUGCAGACACUGUCACGGUCAAUCUUCGAAAUUGCAUAUCUUUUGGGCCGGUGUUGAAACAAGCAAAAAAUUCAACCUUCCCCCUGGAGAUAGAUCCAUCACAACUGGAUCUGGUUUUGGUCUUUGUCAGCCUGGUGGUUGGCUUCUCCCUCAUCUCUUUGUUGCUGCUGCUGGUGUGGCUAGCCUACCAUCGGCAGGCCAUCUGGCUUCUCCACUCUGCAGCUCCGUCUCAAGCCUGUUGCGGCUGCCUACGCCUGGGAGGCGACUUAUCUCACCGUGACCAAGGAGGAACCGCUGCCAAUUAUGUUGAUCAAGUCCCCCCCCCCAAAAUAGCUGCAAACAAUUACAUUAGUCAACAGACAGAGGGGCAGUCAAUCAUAUUAGGUGCAGAGCAGAAGCGGCCGGUCUCACCGCCCGGCGUAGGACAGAAUACACAAUGAGGUGCAAUCCAAUUCACACCUCCUCGCACAGGUGACACAGCUGUUGCAGUCAAAUUUCACACUUAACCAUGAAAAGUCUAUUAUCAUCUGCUGAAAGUAAACACCAGCCCUAAAUAGAAAAGCUGCUCUGAUCCCUUCUCUCACUGGGUGGAAAUCAAUAGGCCUGCCUAUAACACUUGGAUGAAUGGAUAACUUAGAAAUAAUAGUUUGAUAUGAUGUAUGCAUUUGUGGUUUAAAGUUGUUAUUGAGUUUCUUUGACAAAUCAUUAUGGGAAAAUGUCACUUUCAGCUUCGCUGUUACUGCAAUGCUUCAGUAGUGUUUGCUUUGCAACAUAAUACAUAAUGUUAUGUCACAAUAUGUAAUACAGUAAGUGAUGUGGA